rnacentral:rRNA from 1 species
CAGUCGCCGCGGGAAUACGUAGGGUGCAAGCGUUGCUCGGAAUGACUGGGCGUAAAGGGCGCGUAGGCGGCGGCCAAAGUCAGGUGUGAAAUUCCUGGGCUCAACCUGGGGGCUGCGUUUGAUACUUGGUUGCUAGAGUGAGGAAGAGGGUCGUGGAAUUCCCAGUGUAGAGGUGAAAUUCGUAGAUAUUGGGAAGAACACCGGUGGCGAAGGCGGCGACCUGGUCCUUGACUGACGCUGAGGCGCGAAAGCGUGGGGAGCAAACAGGAUUAGAUACCCCGGUAGUCCCUGUCUCUUAUAC